AUAUAAUCUACACAGCGGAGGAAAAGAAACCAACAGGGAUUGCCCCAGUAACGGCGAGUGAAGCGGCAACAGCUCAAAUUUGAAAUCUGGCCCCCGGGUCCGAGUUGUAAUUUGUAGAGGAUGCUUUUGGUGCGGUGCCUUCCGAGUUCCCUGGAACGGGACGCCAAAGAGGGUGAGAGCCCCGUCUGGUCGGACACCAAGCCUCUGUAAAGCUCCUUCGACGAGUCGAGUAGUUUGGGAAUGCUGCUCCAAAUGGGAGGUAUAUGUCUUCUAAAGCUAAAUAUUGGCCAGAGACCGAUAGCGCACAAGUAGAGUGAUCGAAAGAUGAAAAGCACUUUGAAAAGAGGGUUAAACAGUACGUGAAAUUGUUGAAAGGGAAGCGCUUGUGACCAGACUUGGGCCUGCUCAAUCAUCCGGGGUUCUCCCCGGUGCACUUGGCCGGCCCAGGCCAGCAUCAGUUCGUCGCGGGGGAUAAAGGCGUCGGGAACGUGGCUCCCCCGGGAGUGUUAUAGCCCGUCGCGCAAUACCCUGCCUCGGACUGAGGUUCGCGCAUCUGCAAGGAUGCUGGCGUAAUGGUCAUCAGCGACCCGUCUUGAAACACGGACCAAGGAGUCGUCUUCGUAUGCGAGUGUUCGGGUGUCAAACCCCUACGCGUAAUGAAAGUGAACGCAGGUGAGAGCUUCGGCGCAUCAUCGACCGAUCCUGAUGUUCUCGGACGGAUUUGAGUAAGAGCAUACGGGGCCGGACCCGAAAGAAGGUGAACUAUGCCUGUAUAGGGUGAAGCCAGAGGAAACUCUGGUGGAGGCUCGCAGCGGUUCUGACGUGCAAAUCGAUCGUCAAAUAUGGGCAUGGGGGCGAAAGACUAAUCGAACCUUCUAGUAGCUGGUUUCCGC
rnacentral:rRNA from 1 species